rnacentral:rRNA from 1 species
GAUGAACGCUGGCGGCGUGCCUAAUACAUGCAAGUCGAGCGAACAGACGAGGAGCUUGCUCCUCUGACGUUAGCGGCGGACGGGUGAGUAACACGUGGAUAACCUACCUAUAAGCCUGGGAUAACUUCGGGACACCGGCGCUAAUACCGGAUGAUAUCUUGAACCGCAUGGUUCAAUAGUGAAAUACGGUUUUGCUGUCACUUAUAGAUGGAUCCGCGGCGCAUUAGCUAGUUGGUAAGGUAACGGCUUACCAAGGCAACGAUGCGUAGCCGACCUGAGAGGGUGAUCGGCCACACUGGAACUGAGACACGGUCCAGACUCCUACGGGAGGCAGCAGUAGGGAGUCUUCCGCAAUGGGCGAAAGCUUGCCGGAGCAACGCCGCGUGAGUGAUGAAGGUCUUCGGAGCGGAAAACUCUGUUAGUAGGGAAGAACAAAUGUGUAAGUAACUAUGCACGUCGUGACGGUACCUAAUUAGAAAGCCACGGCUAACUACGUG